rnacentral:rRNA from 1 species
UACAUGUGGGGCAAGCGUUGUCCGGAUUUAUUGGGCGUAAAGAGCUCGUAGGCGGUUCCGUAAGUCGGAUGUGAAAACUCAGGGCUCAACCCGGAGACGCCAUCCGAUACUGCGGUGACUGGAGUCUGGUAGGGGAUCACGGAAUACCUGGUGUAGCGGUGAAAUGCGCAGAUAUCAGGUGGAACACCGAUGGCGAAGGCAGUGAUCUGGGCCAGUACUGACGCUGAGGAGCGAAAGCGUGGGGAGCAAACAGG